ACCGGGCGGGUUGGACCGGCAGAGCCUCUUUGUCAAGGUCCCUGAAGAAGCUGUGUGGCGGACGGAGCGUCAACUGAACGGAGACGAUUCCAGCAUCGGACCUCGCGGAGACCAGCUGUACUGCGCCAAAGGGUGUCGGAUCUGACCUGUGGAGCUUACGCCUGAAAGUUCAAGACUGAUUUUAAUAUUUCUUAUCAGCUGACCCUAAAAUCAAUGAUAUUAUAACCUUGUUAUAAUAACAUUCAGGCAGUGAUAGGUGGUGCCCCCUUUUCGAGAUUUUCUAGAUUCUAAAACUGUCUGACCUGCUCUUACAGAAGAAAACAUAUUUUUUGCAGCCACAAAACUGAUGGAGUUCCUUCAGGAAUACAGUUCAGUCGUGCUGCAGCAGUUCGUGAAGAAAGACGAAAUGCUCUUUGAAAAACAGGAGUUGAAUCUGAGUG